rnacentral:rRNA from 1 species
UUGAACGCUGGCGGCAGGCCUAACACAUGCAAGUCGAGCGGAUGAAGGGAGCUUGCUCCUGGAUUCAGCGGCGGACGGGUGAGUAAUGCCUAGGAAUCUGCCUGGUAGUGGGGGAUAACGUCCGGAAACGGGCGCUAAUACCGCAUACGUCCUGAGGGAGAAAGUGGGGGAUCUUCGGACCUCACGCUAUCAGAUGAGCCUAGGUCGGAUUAGCUAGUUGGUGGGGUAAAGGCCUACCAAGGGGACGAUCCGUAACUGGUCUGAGAGGAUGAUCAGUCACACUGGAACUGAGACACGGUCCAGACUCCUACGGGAGGCAGCAGUGGGGAAUAUUGGACAAUGGGCGAAAGCCUGAUCCAGCCAUGCCGCGUGUGUGAAGAAGGUCUUCGGAUUGUAAAGCACUUUAAGUUGGGAGGAAGGGCAGUAAGUUAAUACCUUGCUGUUUUGACGUUACCAACAGAAUAAGCACCGGCUAACUUCGUG